AUUGAACGCUGGCGGCAUGCCUUACACAUGCAAGUCGAACGGCAGCAUGAUCUAGCUUGCUAGAUUGAUGGCGAGUGGCGAACGGGUGAGUAAUACAUCGGAGCGUGCCCUGUAGUGGGGGAUAACUAGUCGAAAGAUUAGCUAAUACCGCAUACGACCUGAGGGUGAAAGUGGGGGACCGCAAGGCCUCAUGCUAUAGGAGCGGCCGAUGUCUGAUUAGCUAGUUGGUGAGGUAAAGGCUCACCAAGGCGACGAUCAGUAGCUGGUCUGAGAGGACGAUCAGCCACACUGGGACUGAGACACGGCCCAGACUCCUACGGGAGGCAGCAGUGGGGAAUUUUGGACAAUGGGCGAAAGCCUGAUCCAGCAAUGCCGCGUGUGUGAAGAAGGCCUUCGGGUUGUAAAGCACUUUUGUCCGGAAAGAAAUGGCUCUGGUUAAUACCUGGGGUCGAUGACGGUACCGGAAGAAUAAGGACCGGCUAACUACGU
rnacentral:rRNA from 1 species